rnacentral:rRNA from 1 species
UGGGGAAUUUUGGACAAUGGGGGAAACCCUGAUCCAGCCAUCCCGCGUGUGCGAUGAAGGCCUUCGGGUUGUAAAGCACUUUUGGCAGGAAAGAAACGUCAUGGGUUAAUACCCCGUGAAACUGACGGUACCUGCAGAAUAAGCACCGGCUAACUACGUGCCAGCAGCCGCGGUAAUACGUAGGGUGCAAGCGUUAAUCGGAAUUACUGGGCGUAAAGCGUGCGCAGGCGGUUCGGAAAGAAAGAUGUGAAAUCCCAGAGCUCAACUUUGGAACUGCAUUUUUAGCUACCGGGCUAGAGUGUGUCAGAGGGAGGUGGAAUUCCGCGUGUAGCAGUGAAAUGCGUAGAUAUGCGGAGGAACACCGAUGGCGAAGGCAGCCUCCUGGGAUAACACUGACGCUCAUGCACGAAAGCGUGGGGAGCAAACAG